GGGGCUGUAGCUCAGCUGGGAGAGCGGUGCGUUCGCAACGCACAGGUCAGGGGUUCGAGCCCCCUCAGCUCCACCA
rnacentral:tRNA from 1 species